rnacentral:rRNA from 1 species
CUAGCUGUAAACGAUGGAUACUAGGCGUUGAGAGUAUCGACCCUCUCAGUGUCGUAGCUAACGCGUUAAGUAUCCCGCCUGGGGAGUACGCGCGCAAGCGUGAAACUCAAAGGAAUUGACGGGGGCCCGCACAAGCGGUGGAGUAUGUGGUUUAAUUCGAUGCAACGCGAAGAACCUUACCAGGGCUUGACACGUCCGGAACCCUGCCCAAAGGCGGGGGUGCCUACGGGAACCGGAACACAGGUGGUGC